UUGGGGGAUGAGGGCCUAAGCCAGUGAACGCUACAGGAAUCCCGGGACUGAGCAUCUUCUAGGAGUUCCUUGGGGUGUUAUGCUGCCUCUUGCCAUGGGUAUUUUAUUUUCCUAGUCAUCCUUGGUUCUGCUUCUAGCAUCAGUGUUUUCUUCCUCCCUCCCUCUCUUUAUCUUACCUGGUGCCACUGCAAAUCUUUUUUCUUUUCUGCCAUGCAUUCUGUAACUGGCAAAAAAAUAAAUAAAUAAAAAAUAAAUUAGAAGGAUACGAUUUAGGAGGAAAGUCCUUAAAAGAAAGGGAGUCACUCAACCAGGGCAUUGGAGCUGAAAAUCUGGAGGUUUUCAGUUCUCCUCUUCAAAAAACUGCCAGUGUCCAAGUUACCCAAGUCUCACCUUCUCAGCAUGGAAUUCAAGAAGCCAUGUGGUCCCAACCUCUCUUCAGCUGCCAGUAUGAACUGGGAUCCUUGGAGACUAAUAGACCAGGGUAUGACCUUGCAUGGUCACUUCAUCACCAUGGGACUGGGGACAAUCAUUACACCUGCUGUGUGAUCUUGGACCAGUCACCAGCCCCUGCUGUGCCUCAGAGGCUCCACAGGUACCUACUUCAUGGAUCAGGAGGAUUAAGUGAGUUGAUGACAGCAAUUAAGACAGUUGGCACAAAGUCAGUUCUUAAUUAUGGGAGCUGCCACCCUGACGGUGGUGAAGAUCUGAAAAGAGUGCCCUUUGUUUUCCAUUAGGAAUUACUUUUGCAGAUUUUAGGUCAAAGGCCCCAGCAUUUGCUUUCCAUUAUGAAUUACUUUUGAAGAUUUUAGGUCAAAUGCACCAGCAUCCUACACUAUGGCUCCCAUCUCCUCUGACUUGUCUCUCAACACUCAGAACUUGCUUUGAGCAUCCAGGUUGGAUCUUCCUUCAUUCUGCCUUGAAUUCCAUCUCCCCCACUGAGUUUCAUUCUUUUGCUGGGAAGAGAUUAUAUUCUGCAUAUUCUGUAUUAUGGAGCGAAUACAUAAAUAUAAAGAAAAAAUAAAGAGUAUGAAAAAAAUACAUAAGUGAGUACAGACCAUGCCAAAAAAAGGAACCAUUCCCAGACAUCCCGCUAAUACCAAGAGUCUUGGAAAGACUACAUACUAAAAAGUACCUCAGAGGUCUGAAAACAUUCUUUUGGUAACAAAAAGUAUGCUUCUUUUUUUAUUUCCCCUUUGGGAGGAGUCAAAACCUCCAUGUCAUUCCCUUUUCAUUGAAUGAGCCAAAACUGCCUGCUUCUCCAUCAGGAACCAGCUUCAACUUUCCCCAACAUCAAGGAGUCUCCAUCCAACACAAGAGAAUAAAUCCAGGUUCCAUUAGUGGGUCAAAGAACAACGAAAGAACAAACCUCAGUCUGUCUGUUUCCUGUCUGUCUCUCUCCACAUGUGUGCGUACCCACACAUCUACAAAUGAAGUCAUCAAAAUCCCAACAGUUUUUAUUUCCGGAUAGUAAGAAUUUGAAUGCUGUCAAUUCUCUCUUUUUUGCUUGCUGUAAUUUCCAAGGUCUCUACCAUGAGAAUUAUUACCAUGGUAAUUAGAAAAAAUUAACAAGGAAGAGUCCUCUGGGAGGAAAAUAAACCCUCCUUAGAUAAAAGCAUGUGCUAACAUCUUAAGCCCAGAUUGUCUAGGACGGUUCUAAUUUUGCACCGUGGAUUCGCUGAUCCCAAACUACCCUCUUUUCGUUUGUGCUGCGAUCGUCAAGGUGAGAUGCUCCUUAGUAAAUCUGAUUCACUGAGAAAAACAAGCCCUAGACCAUGGCCAUGAGGUUAUGGGGACAUGACCCAGCGUCCAUAAGUCAUUCACGUGUCAGCAGGUCCAAGAGCACUGGGGACACUGAGCGAAGCUCAUGUCCGUAGUUGACAUAAACAGGACUCUUGAUCCUGUCUUCAUUAGCAUUGCUCGCAUCAUCGUCAACAGUUAGGGAACUCUUGCUACUUGCCAGAAAGAACAUUAAAUUCCUGCAUUACUUCACUUAACCUCCCAACACAUCCGAGGCAGAAAUUCUUACUGUUUUCCACUUAGAAGGAAGCUUGGAAAGAUUAUCACCGAGAAAAUAUUCACUUCACCUUAUUCUACUUUAAAGCAGUUCAUGUGAGAAAGAUAUAGACAAUUGGGUUAAGAAUCUAGUCUGUGGAAACAAACUCUGAAAAUAUAAAGCCAUAAAAUGAUAGUUUCAAAGGGGGAGCUGGGGACGCUGCCAAGCGACAGUGAGUCAAAAGAUGUUUGUGCUCCUACAGCCCAGAAGGGAGACCUCCCUAAGACUGCCAGGGAACAGAAAGACCACAGGAAAAAAAUAGUUGCACUUUAACGGUCAACACUUCCAAAACGCAUAAACCGAUUGGAACCCGGCACGGCCUCUGUAUAGACUGAGCGGAGAGUGUAAUCCCAGUCAGGGUAGCUAAGACCUUGAGUUAGCAUGCCAUCAUAAUUAGUCAACAGCUAUUUAUUUAUUCAUUUUUUGUCUUUUUGCCAUUUCUAGGGCCACACCCAUGGCAUAUGGAGGGUCCCAGGCUAGGUAGGGGUUGUCGAAUCUGAGCUGUAGCCACCGGCCUACGUCACAGCUCAUGGCAACUCAGGAUCCUUAACCCACUGAGCAAGGCCUGGGAUUGAACCCAUAACCUCAUGGUUCCUGGUCGGAUUUGUUAACCACUGAGCCAUGACAGGAACUCCUCAACAGUUAUUUUCUUAACAAUGCAAUUGUUAUUUUUUUAAAGGGAGAGCAUAUCUGAGAUCACCUGUGUCCCUUUAAUAGGCUUUAUUUUCAUAGUUGUAUGGUUUUAUUUCAUUGCUAAAGUGAAACUGUAAUUCAUUUUAUUUUAUUUAUUUUUUUAUUUUUUUGUCUUUUUUUGUGUGUGCGUCUUUUUGCUAUUUCUUGGGCAGUUCUUACAGCAUAUGGAGGUUCCCAGGCUAGGGGUCUAAUCGGACCUGUAGCUGCUGGCCUACGCCAGAGCCACAGCAACGCGGGAUCCAAGCCGCAUCUGCGACCUACACCACAGCUCACCUCAAUGCCGGAUCCUUAACCCACUGAGCAAGGGCAGGGACCGAACUCGCAACCUCAUGGUUUCUAGUCGGAUUCGUUAACCACUGCGCCAUGACAGGAACUCCUGUAAUUCAUUUUAAACACUACAUGUUACAGGCAAGCUGCUUACAAUGUAUGGUCUCAGGAAUUUUUGGAAACUUGUCUUUAGGUAUUAUUGGCACAAAAUAAUAGCCUAGAGUUUUGUCCUCUGGGUGUAAAAGAGGACAAAAAAGCUUCCUGUUGCUUGACGACUUAUAAAAGUUAACUCUGCCACAAAACAUGUGAUAGGGAAAAAGGCUGUGAAAUAGGAAAGCCAGAAAAGGCGGUAGGAAUCCAGAAAGUGUAAGAUUAUAAUCAAAGCUCAGGAUUUCUAAUUUAAAAGGAAAGUGACAAGGCACAGACAGGGAGAAAAUCUUUGCAGAAGGCAUUCUGUUAUUAUCAGAUUAAAAAAAAAAACUGUCAUCCAAAAUAUGCUAAGAACCCUAAAAACUCAACAAUAGGGGAACAAUUUAAUUUAAAAAUUAGCCAAACACUUUAACAGACCUCUCACCAAAGAUGUAUAGAUAGCAAAUAAACAUAUGUAAAGAUGCUCCACAUGACAUGUCAUCAGAGAUACAUAACUUAAAACAGAAACGAGGUACCGGAGUUCCCGUCAUGGCGCAGUGGAAACAAAUCCAACUAGGAACCAUGAGGUUGCGGGUUUGAUCCCUGGCCUCGCUCAGCGGGUUAAGGAUCUGGCGUUGCCAUGAGCUGUAGUGUAGCUCGCAGAUGCAGCUUGGAUCCCACAUUGCCGUGGCUGUGGUGUAGACUGGAAGCUGCAGCUCCGAUUCGACCCCUCGCCUAGGAACCUCCAUAUGCUGCAGACGUGGCCCUAAAAAGACAAAAGGCAAAUAAAUAAAUAAAUAAAUAAAACAAUCCUCUAAAAGAAAAAAAGAGAUACCACCACAGACCUUUUGGAAUGACCCAAACCCAGGACACCAGUAACACCAAAUGCUUGCGAGGGUGUGGAGCAACAGGAACGCGUAUGCACUGCUGGUGGGGAAGUGAAACUAUACCGUCACUUUGGCAGAUGGUUUGGCAGCUUCUUACAAAACUAAGCAUACUUUUACCAUACAAUCUAGUGAUUCAGCUCCUUGGCAUUUACCCCAAGAAGCUGAACAUUUAUGUCCACACAAACACCUAUACUGUUUACAGCAGUCUUAUCCAUAAUCAUCAGAACUUGGAAGCAACCAAGAAGUCCUUUAUCAUUUGAUAAAUCAACUAUGGUACAGCCCGACAAUGGAAUAUUAUUUGGCACUAAAGAGAUGAGUUGUCAGCCAUGAAAAGAUAUGGAGGAACCUAAAAUGCACAUUAGUAAGUGAACGAAGCCAAUCCGAAAAGGCUACAUAGUGUAUGAUUCCAACUGUAUGAUAUUCUGGAAAAGGCAACCUAUGGAGACCAUAAAAAGAUGAGUGGUUGCCAGGGGUUAAGGGGAGGGGAGGGGUGAGUAGGUGGAGCCUAGAGGAUUUUUAGGCAGCAAAACUGGUCUCUAUGAUACUAUAACGCUGGACAUGUGUCAUUACACACUUGCUAAAACCCACAGAAUGUACAAUACCGAGAGUGAGCCCCAAUGUAAACCAUGGACUUUGGGUGAUGAUGACGUGUCAGUGUAGCUUCAUGGAUUGAGGGGAGGAGAGGAGGUUGCACGAUUGUGGGGAAAGUGGGUACAUGGGAAUUAUCUGUACUUUCCACUGAAUUUUGCUGUGACCCUAACAUUGCUCUAAAAAAAAAAAGUCUAUUUUUGUGUGUUUAUACAUGUUGAUGGAUAUGUGUGCAAAUGUGUGUCUGUGUUUAAUCAUUAUCAUCAUCCCUCCCCCCCCCUUUUUUUUACAAGACUAUUCCUCUCAUUUAGAGAUGACAUUGUGAAAUUGGAUCAGGUUUAUCCUUGGGGCUUCCCAGGCUCUACUUCGAGUCCCCAUCCCUGGCACCAGAGUGCUGGGGCUUCUCUGCCACAUGCUAAACAUGGUGUUGAAACCUAUGGGAUAGAGGUGAACCAGUCCUGCCCUCACGAAGUUCACUGUCAAAGCAGAGGGGACGCGUUAAACAAGUCAUUGCAGUAAGAUGCAGAUGGGUUGAGUUGUGAUGAGCACCCUGAAAGCACAGAACGAGGAGAUAAAACCUAGUCAGUGGAGUCAAGAAGGCUUCCCUGAAGAAGACAUUUAAUCGGCAGCUGUGGGAGAAACUGAAAGGCCCAGAGGACAGUAGCACAAAGAACAUGAGGAGGAGAGAGGAGAGAUGCAGCUGGAGAGGUGGGCAGGGGACCGAUUAUUGAAACCACCCUAAUAGCAAGGAC
rnacentral:lncRNA from 1 species